rnacentral:lncRNA from 1 species
GUGAAAGGUCCCAGCCAGGGUUCAGAGAACACAGGCAGUUAAUACUAAGCCACCAUUAUGAUCUCAGGGAACUGUUUUCAUGAUUCUGAUUGCUUCAACAUCUCCUGAACCAUGAGUCAGACACUACUAGGAAUUUUCAAUACAGGACCAUUAAGGCACAACCCUUUUAUAAGCCUGCAGUGUUUGGGGGAAAGACAGAUAAGACCUUAACCAUGGGAUGCCUUGACAGACCAGCUGCUUCUGUUAGGUGCUUUAUGCAGUAGUGCAUCUGGUCCUAACAAAAGUUUCACGAGCCCCACACUGGGAAGCACGGUUCACUCUGGAUUACCUGCCCCGUUUUCCCUUAGUGAGCAGAAGAUUUGAGUCCCCCACCGAAGCUGAUGCACUUUCUACCACACCAUCCUGCCUUUCUACAGCAGGCGAGGUUUCUGUUUCCAUCUCCACCCACAGGAAACCUUGCUCCACUGUGUGUACACAAUGCGCACGCUCUAUUUAUGUUUGCCCGUUUUCCCUUAUUCCAUCAGCACCAUCCGGCCUGCGCGAGCUAGUGUAUAUUGUAAACGCACUGUCAUUUCCUAUUUAUAGCCCUGCACUCCCUUCCCAAUGCCCAGUCCUGUGGGACGUGAUGUUGGUGCUAUGUGUCCUAGUAGGACACUGUGGUCUGAGUCCCUCUUACUCCUUUAUGAUUUAUAGUUCCAGAUGCAUCUUGGUGAUCACAAACUCCAUCAUGGAAUACUUCAUUUCGUAUCGUGCUGGAUGGUUUCCCAAGUGCAUGCAGUGGUGCUGUCUCCUCUGGUCCCUCAUGGGUUUCCUCAGAUAUAUAAGCUCUGUGAGGAAGGAGCAUGCGCUCAGUUCACAGAGCCUCACCUGAUGCCGUGUGCACAAGAAUCAAGGUGAACCGUUUAAGAUCUCAGUAAUACCUUUAAGAAUCCUUCAGUAUCUGCAGUAGCAAUGGCACCCAUAAUUCCAGGAUACACCAGAUUUUUUAAAAAGUGGGCUGGGGUGCAGCUCAGUGGUAGAGCACUUGCCUGGCAGGAGUGAGGCCCUGGGUUCCAUGCUCAACAUUAAAAAAAAAAAAAAAUUAAAGUGAAACCCUGC